rnacentral:rRNA from 1 species
CCUACGGGUGGCAGCAGUGGGGAAUAUUGGGCAAUGGGCGCAAGCCUGACCCAGCAACGCCGCGUGAAGGAAGAAGGCUUUCGGGUUGUAAACUUCUUUUCUGGGGGACGAAGAAAGUGACGGUACCUCAGGAUUAAGCCACGGCUAACUACUGCCAAGCAGCCUCGGUAAUACGUGGGUGGCAAGCGUUAUCCGGAUUUCUUGGGUGGAAAGGGCGUGUAGGCGGGAAAGCAAGUCAGUUGUGAAAACUCAGGGCUCAACCCGGAACCUGCAUUUGAAACUGUUUUUCUUGAGUGCUGGAGAGGCAAGCGGAAUUCCGGGUGUAGCGGUGAAAUGCGUAGAUAUACGGAGGAACACCAGUGGCGAAGGCGGAUUGCUGGACAGUAACUGACGCUGAGGCGCGAAAGCGUGGGGAGCAAACAGGAUUAGAUACCCUAGUAGUC